GUGGGGAAUAUUGGACAAUGGGCGAAAGCCUGAUCCAGCAAUGCCGCGUGAGUGAUGAAGGCCCUAGGGUUGUAAAGCUCUUUUACCCGGGAUGAUAAUGACAGUACCGGGAGAAUAAGCUCCGGCUAACUUCGUGCCAGCAGCCGCGGCAAUACGAGGGGAGCGAGCGUUGUUCGGAAUUACUGGGCGUAAAGCGCGCGUAGGCGGUUUUUUAAGUCAGCGGUGAAAGCCCGGGGCUCAACCCCGGAAUAGCCUUUGAAACUGGAAAACUAGAAUCUAGGAGGGGUCAGUGGAAUUCCGAGUGUAGAGGUGAAAUUCGUAGAUAUUCGGAAGAACACCAGUGGCGAAGGCGACUGACUGGACGAGUAUUGACGCUGAGGUGCGAAAGCGUGGGGAGCAAACAGGAUUAGAUACCCUUGUAGUCC
rnacentral:rRNA from 1 species